UACGUAGGCAGCAAGCGUUGUUCGGAGUUACUGGGCGUAAAGGGUGUGUAGGCGGUUGUUUAAGUUUGGUGUGAAAUCUCCCGGCUCAACUGGGAGGGUGCGCCGAAUACUGAAUGACUUCGAGUGCGGGAGGGGAAAGUGGAAUUCCUGGUGUAGCGGUGAAAUGCGUAGAUAUCAGGAGGAACACCGGUGGUGUAGACGGCUUUCUGGACCGUAACUGACGCUGAGACACGAAAGCGUGGGUAGCAAACAGG
rnacentral:rRNA from 1 species